AAGUUUACUCAUGAGGUGGCGAGCGGCGGACGGGUGAGUAAUGCCUAGGGAUCUGCCCAGUCGAGGGGGAUAACAGUUGGAAACGACUGCUAAUACCGCAUACGCCCUACGGGGGAAAGAGGGGGACCUUCGGGCCUCUCGCGAUUGGAUGAACCUAGGUGGGAUUAGCUAGUUGGUGAGGUAAUGGCUCACCAAGGCGACGAUCCCUAGCUGUUCUGAGAGGAUGAUCAGCCACACUGGGACUGAGACACGGCCCAGACUCCUACGGGAGGCAGCAGUGGGGAAUAUUGCACAAUGGGGGAAACCCUGAUGCAGCCAUGCCGCGUGUGUGAAGAAGGCCUUCGGGUUGUAAAGCACUUUCAGUAGGGAGGAAAGGGUGAGUCUUAAUACGGCUCAUCUGUGACGUUACCUACAGAAGAAGGACCGGCUAACUCCGUGCCAGCAGCCGCGGUAAUACGGAGGGUCCGAGCGUUAAUCGGAAUUACUGGGCGUAAAGCGUGCGCAGGCGGUUUGUUAAGCGAGAUGUGAAAGCCCUGGGCUCAACCUAGGAAUAGCAUUUCGAACUGGCGAACUAGAGUCUUGUAGAGGGGGGUA
rnacentral:rRNA from 1 species